UAAUUGAAAACUGUGGUCCACAAUUGAUGUUCAGCUCACCAAUCUCAACACCAAGAGCAAUAGUAAUAAUAUGGUGUUGAUAUUGGUUAGUUGAACAUCAAUUGUGGACCCAAUAUGCUUUCAAUU
rnacentral:pre_miRNA from 1 species